CGCCACGAUGGUCGGCGAGACAAGUCCGGCGAUGACGAGACACUCUAUGCCGUCGGGCCGAGCCGUGCUGCGCGACGCUGGGCAUCGAGCAGAGACCGAGCUGGAGCUAGGCGUGACACGGAAGGACAGACGGCCAUCUGGGCAGCGCGCAGGCGCACGCAACGAGUGGAGCAGGAGCCAGGGACACGACAGCAGGGAGGAGCAGGAAGGUUGGGCGACCAAGCGCCGUCUCCCGCGGCGAGCACCGACGAGCAGCAGGGCAUGGCCAUGGAUGGAGGAGCUGGAGCGCCGGCAGAGGGCAGAGAUGGAGCAGGGAACUCGGCCAGGAAAGGGACUCGGAACCGGGCGCGGCGGCUGGACGCAGGGCGAGCCAUGGAGAUGGGCGCCGAGAUCCAUGGAUGCAGGGAGGAGGGAGGAGCUCGCAGGCUAGCUGGGGAUGGAGGAGGAGAAAUCCACGCGCGCCAUAGAAGGGCUUCGACAGGGACAGGGCGCUGCUGGGAAAUGGAGGGAGAGAAGCAAGGGGGCAGCUAGGCUCUUGGCCGACCGGAGUUGGAGGAGGAAGCCGCGGCCUGAACGCCGGCGAGCCAGGCGCGGCCAUGGCUGGGGAAGAGGAACAGCAGGCGAUUUGGAGCGCGGCGUGCUUGAAGAUGGAGCAGAGGAAGCAGUGCAGAGAAGGAACGCGGGGCACAGGGAAGCGCGCGUCAUGGCUGGGAGGAUCUGGGGCGAGCUGCGCGCGUGCAGAAGGCAGGGAGAGCG
rnacentral:misc_RNA from 1 species